CAUCCAGACGGUGGACCACUCGGCUCGCGUGUCGAAGAAGGACGCAGCAAGCUGCGUUACUUGAUGUGAAUUGCAGAAUACCUCGAUCGUCGACUCUCCGAAUGUGCAUGACGGCCGGCCGCCGGUCGGCCGGGUUCGCUUCAGUGUCGUUCGAAAAACGAAAAGAGACAAGAGAAGGUGCUCGCAUACGAUGUACCCCCGCGCGAGGGGACAGAGAAGGAGAAGACGACGGCUCGCACCGUGGGCGGCCGAGGCGUGCAGGCGCAAGCCGGUACGAGAGACGGCGGGGCAGCCUCGAGCCGCGAGAGCCGAAGGAGCACGAGAAAGACGGCAAAGUGACCUGAAGUCGAGCCCGACAACCCGCUGAAUUUAAGCAUAUAACUAAGCGGUGGAAAAGAAACCAACUGGGAUUCUCCCAGUAACGGCGAGUGAAUGGAGAGACGGCGAUCGUACGAAGAGCCCAGCGCCGAAUCCGCCCGCACACUGCGCGGGAGGGGAACUGUGGCGUAUGGACCGUCGUCUGCUGCCAGCGGCCGUCGACCUCGUCCGGGCGCACCGCGUUCCACGAUUGGAGUCUCGAAACCCCGCGGCGGGUGGAGGGCCCUGAUCGGGUGCGUCGCUGCGGACGGCAGGCGGCCGCCUAGGCGCGGCGGUUCGAGAGUAGCGUUGCUUGAGAUUGCAGCGCGAAGUGCGGUGGUACGCUCCACCGAAGGCUCGAUACUCGGACGCGAGACCGACAGAGGACAAGUACCGCGAGGGAAAGUCGAAAAGGACUCUGAAGAGAGAGUCAAAGAGAACGCGAAACCGUCCUGGACGAACGGAGAAAACGUGUCGGCGAGUCGGCAUCCGCUUCGGCCUCGACCGGUCCCUUGGCGCCGCGUUCGCGCGCGGAGCCUUGGAGCCUGCCGUUCGGAGGUGCGACGACCGAAUCCCGAAGUCGGGCCCGUACCUGACGGGCGCGAGAAGCCUCGUUCCGGCCUUCGCGGGCCGGGCUGGCGACGCGCCCCGAACCCGAGGGUCGCCGGACGGAGGGCGGAGGUCGCUCGAGCGCAUCACGACUGUCGCCGCUUACGACCCGUCUUGAAACACGGACCGAGGAGUCUAACGCAUGCGCGAGUUCUGAGACUCGAAAAUGUCAAGGUAAAGCGGAGCGAAGACGAAGCCGAGAAGCGCCGGCCCCUUCGCGGGCCGGACGCGGGAGCGGCGCCGGGGGUCGUCGGCGACCUCCAGACGAAGCGCAGACGAAAGGACCCGAAAGAUGGUGAACUACGCUCGAGCAGGCUGAAGCCGGACGAAAGUCCGGUGGAGGGCCGAAUGCGAUUCUGACGUGCAAAUCGAUCGCCCGACUCGCGUGUAGGGGCGAAAGACCAAUCGAACCAUCUAAUAGCUGGUUCCCGCCGAAGUUUCCCUCAGGAUAGCCGGCGCAACGAACGAGAUACAGUCGUGUCUGGUAAAGCAACGACAAGAGCCGACGGGGAGCAACGUUCCUCGAUCUAUACUCGAACUUGAAAUUGGCAAGAGGGGACGCGGUUGCAGGCGAACCGGUCCCGGCGUUAAAAUCGAACGAUGCAGUGUGCCGAGUGGGCCACUUUUGGUAAGCAGAACUGGCGAUGCGGGAUGAACCGAACGGACGGGGUGUCGGCGCCCGACGAGACGCUAAUCAGAGCCCAAAAAAGGUGUCGAUCGGUAGAGACAGCAGGACGGUGGCCAUGGAAGUCGGCAGCCGCUAAGGAGUGUGUAACGACUCACCUGCCGAAUCGAUCGGCCCUGAAAACGGAUGGCGCUGGAGCGUCGGGCCCGUGCCCUCCCGUUGGCCCGGUGAAGCGGAUCGGCCGUCUCCCCUCGAGGCGACGACCGACGGAUCGUACGGGCGAACGAGUAGGCGGGCACGCCGACGGGCGACGAAGGUCGGACGCGAGUCCGGCUGGAGCAGUCGGCGCAGCAGAUCUCGGUGGCAGUAGCAAACAUUCAAGCGAGAGCCUCUCGAAGGCCGAAGCGGAGCAGGGCUCCAGGAGACCGUGGAUCGAUCGUGGUCUAGCCGCGCCUAAGCAGGACGGCGAAGGCCACCUCAAGCAGGGUCCGUUCCGCCCGUUCGGACCUCUGCCGGCAAAAGGGAGUCGGGCAUCGAUUCCCGGGCCUCGUGCGGAGAUUUGCCCGUCCUCGCGGACGGGCCAAGCGGCAACGCAUUGCCAAACUCGGAGACGACGACCCGGGCCCCGGGAAGAGUUAUCUUUUCUUGGCAAGGCAGCCUGGUAGUACGCCGACCCCGGAAUCGCGUCGAGCGGAGAUGGGGUGGGCGGCGCGGCCGACAAGCGACGUUCUCUCGAGCGUCGUCCGGUGCGUCCCGGGUCGUCCCUUGAAAAUCCGAGCAAGUGCUAGACAAUCUCGUGCGAGCGCGUACCGAUCGAACCGCAUCAGGUCUCCGAGGCGAGAAGCCUCUGGUCGAUGGAACAAUGCAGACAAGGGAAGUCGGCAAGACGGAUCCGUACCUUCGGUAGAAGGAUUGGCUUUUGUUGGCGUGGCCGGUCGAAGGGCGGCGUUCGUGUCCUCGCGGCCGCCGUCGGAGACGAGGCCGGUCGGCCCGGCCCUUCCGAGAGGGGGGCCGGGCGCGCACCCGGUCGGAGUCGAAGCGGCGCGCGGCGGGACUGACGCCGUCGCGAAAGGGCCGGCCAAGUAUCGUCGAGACCGAGAACUGUGACGGACAAAGGGAAUCCGACUGUUUAAUUAAAACAGAGCCUUGCGCCAGCCGGCGACCGGUGCGGACGCAAAGUGAUUUCUGCCCAGUGCUCUGAAUGUCAAAGUGAAGAAGUUCGAACAAGCGCGGGUAAACGGCGGGAGUAACUAUGACUCUCUUAUGGUAGCCAAAUGCCUCGUCAUCUGAUUAGUGACGCGCAUGAAUGGAUUAACGAGAUUCCCACUGUCCCUGACUGCUAUCUAGCGAAACCACAGCCAAGGGAACGGGCUUGGUAAACGUGUCGGCGGGGAAAGAAGACCCUGUUGAGCUUGACUCUAGUCUUUGAGACUGUACAGACUCGUCGGCGGUAAAGCGUAAGUGGGAGGUCGUCGCCCUUUCGGGGGCGGCGGCCGACGAUGUAACACCACUACGCCGUUCGCGUCUCUACUCACUUCAUUGUGUGUCGGUUUUGAAUCGUUGUCGGACAGAGCGCCGGCGGCCCGCCAGGGCGCGGCCGGCGCCAGAUACGUGAAGCACUCCUCUCAGUCGGGGAGUUUGACUGGGGCGGUACAUCUGUCAAAGCGUAACGCAGGUGUCCCAAGGCGGGCUCGGUCGGGACGGAAACCUGACGUCGAACAAAAGGGCAAAUGCCCGCUCGAUCGGAAUCUUCAGUACGAAUGACGACCGCGAAAGCGCGGCCUAUCGAUCCUUUC
rnacentral:rRNA from 1 species